rnacentral:lncRNA from 1 species
UCCUAGGAGAAAAGCACUUCAGACCUCUUCUCCUACCACUUCCUCUCGCAACCCCAACUCGGAGCGUUAUUGUGACCUCCGAUGGCACCGGAUCGUUGUCCUUCAUAGCAGGUGCUACAAGGCGUCGCUGCGUGCGUCCUUACGUGCUGACGUACGUCAUUCCCUUUCCACCAUCUUGCCUCCCCAGCGCCACCAGGCACCGGCCGCAACGCGCAUGCGCAGCCUGGGCUGUGCGCUGGGUCCUGCACCGCACCUGGUGCACAGCUGAUGCUCAACACGGUGGGCUUCUAUGACCAAACAAAUGAAAGAAAAAGAUGGCAAGCAACUAGGAUGAGCUGAAACCCAGGUGAUAGGAGAGUACUUGUUGUGCAGCCGAUGUUCAAAUUCGCCAUCUUCAUUACCAGUGAUGGUUGCUGUGAACUUGAGGACCGCGGGAAGGAUGGAGCCUAUAUCCCUAUUUCAAUGGGCUGGGAUACCCUCCAAUCAAGCUUCUGAUUUUCUUCUUCUUUCUCAUUUUGUCUUGCUACCUGCAGUAUGUUUCCCAAUUCCCGUCAUUUAUGAACUCUGAUAAUUGGAUCAUCUUCUUUUGCAAUUGUUUGCAGUUGAAAUAUUUUAUUUCCUAUCUUCAUAUGCAUUUAACGUAUUAUGUAUUUAAUAUAAAUGUGUCUCAUGAUAUAAAAAAGCCAAUUGGUGGGUGGUGGACACAACAUUUUUUCUCUGAAGAGACAUUAAGACGUUUGAAAUAAGUUAAAUGUAUUUAUUGCCAUCCAUACUCAGUUUGCAUAGAAUUGCCACAGAUACACAGCUGUGCUAAAUUUCCCAUCUUUGAUGGUUAAGUUGAACGCGUGCAGAUACCUACCAUAAUAAUCCUUUUACAUUGUAUACAUUUAUGUUUUAACGUUGCCAUGGUCACCAAAAAUAAUUGAAACGAAUUUUCCCACAGACCCAAUUUUAAAUGGCUUACAUACUGUGACAGCACAUUCUUUUAUUUGUUCAUUACUCAAAAUCUUAGCACUUCUCAGUGGAAAAUUCCAGAUUUGCAAGAGAAUCUCUACUGUUUCAGACCUUGGCAAGUAUGUUGAGAAAUAUCUUGAAUCUGAGGGAAGCAACAUCACGACUCUCAGUGACAUAUUUAUUUAUUCACAUCAGAAAACCCCUGUGUUGAGCUGUUACAGACAGAGUGUGUGGGGGAGGGGGGAGGAAUGAGGACACUUAAGCAGCGACAGGCGCCCUGGCACUUCCUGCAGUCAUACCUGUGUGUCCUGCUUCCAUAUCAGAAAACCUUACUUCUUCUCAGAGGCCACGUGUCUGAACCCCAGGUACUACAGCUUAACUUUAAAUUAAAUCCUAUUUGUGUUAUAUACAGGAAAGGAACCUUUUUUAAGUGUUGGCAUUUGGCUUGACCUAGCAAUCCCCCUUCUUUUUGCCAAUUCCUAUGUCCGUUCCUUAAAGAAUUUUAGCCUCCAGUUGAGGCUUUGUCCUUUAGGGAGUGUUGAACAGUGUUGAGCCAGAAAAUGGUCUGUUCAGACAUCACUUCCUAAAACUACCCUGGGUGUGGCCUAGGGGGAGUGAGGCUGAGGAAGGGGACAUAUGAGAUGGCAUCCUUACAGUCUGAGCUGGAAACACUCAACCAGGCUGGUGGGGACACGGCCUGAGUGAUGCUUGGGGCCAGAGAUGCAAUGGUUUGGGAGGCGCUGGAGGCGGGAGGAGAGAAGGAAGGACUUUCCAUGACACCGAUGGCUUCAGUGUUGAGUGUUGAGAAGAACAGUGGGAGAAAGAGAGACGGUGUCAACAGGGACACCAGCAGGGCCUGCCCAGGGCCUGACGGGGCUUGGGAUUGUUAACCAGGCCUGCUGCACGGGGCCGUGAGUACCACACGGCAGGGACCUAAGCCGCGAGGGCCUCAGGCUGUCUCACAGAAUAAACACGGGCCCGGCUGCAUUGAUGCACAAGGCGAAUCCUUGUCGGGAAGAUGUUGCUAUUUUAGAAUCAGCGCUUCCAAGUCUUUAAUGAGGUGGAUUAAAAAUUGUAGUCAGCCACCCUGAUGCAUCCUCUCUUUCCAGCUUCUCUUUACGUUCCUCCUGCUGAGGGAGGGAGGGACUUCUUUUAUUUCUUGGUCACCUGAGUUAAGUCUCUAAUGACAGUGGCAGUAGAUGUACAGAAUAGCCUCUUCUCAUUCCAGGGUUUGUUUGUUUUUUUUAACAGUUUUCCUUUUUAGCCAACUAAGCUCCAAAUAAUAAUCCUAGAUCUUAGGGAAAGACAAUAAUAAUAAUAAUAAUAAAACCCUAAGUACUUCCCACUGGAUCGAAGGUAGCUGGUCGUGCCCCUCCUGGGUGGAAAAAUGAUCUUGGACUUUGAGGAACUGUAUCGACUUCUGUGUGAAACGUUCCAUUUCCAAAUAACCUAUUUCUUGGUGAAGUUCUUUGAAGAGGGGGUGUGGCAUUCCUCUCAAACCUCUUAGUGCUCCCGCUGCAGCUCAGCCGGGCUCCUUGAAGCAUCCGAAUGCCUUGGGACCAGAAAGAACCGUACAGGGGACAGAGGUCAACCCUUUCAUUGUAUAAAGAUGGAAAGUAAGAUGUGGGAAGAUGAAAUAGCAUUUCUAGAGCUAAACAGUGUGUUAACUGUGGCGGGAUGCACGUGAACAAAGAUGCAGAUUUCCUACGUUUCAGGUGGCUGUUCUUUCCCUUCACUCUCUUAGAAGCGAGGUGUUUCAAAGACUGCGGAUAUACAGAGACAAGUGAUAGAUGACUGACAGAUAGAUAGAUAGAUAGGUAGGUAGCACUUUCUCCUUUACGUCUGCAAAUGGCACACAUGCAUCUGAUCCGUAAACCCAGCUAUGAGGUACUUGGGGAAUAUCUUAUUUUUAUCCCCAUCUUACAGAUGAGGAAACAGAGUCUUAGGGACGUCAAAUGACUUCUCCAAAUUCACAGAGUUAGAAUGGGACAGAAUUGAGAACAGAAAUCAUGUCUGGGAGUUCACGUCGAGGUGUAGCAGAAAUGAAUCUGACUAGGAACCAUGAGUUUGUGGGUUCGAUCCCUGGCUUCACUCAGUGGGUUAAGGAUCCAGCAUUGCUGUGGGCUGUGGUGUAGGUCUCAGACAUGGCUCUGAUCUGGCAUUGCUGUGGCUCUGGCGUAGGCCAGCAGCAACAGCUUAGAUUAGAUCCCUAGCCUGGGAACCUCCAUACGCUGCAGGUGCGGCCCUAAA